GGCCUUCGGGCCUGGGGACAGCGGCGAACGGGUGAGUAACACGUGGGUAAUCAACCCUCGACACUGGGAUAGCCCGGGGAAACCCGGAUUAAUACCGGAUGGCCCUUUGGACCCUCGGAUCUGAAGGAAAAGGUAGCUUCGGCCUCCGGUCGAGGACGAGCCCGCGGCGGAUUAGCUUGUUGGUGAGGUAACGGCUCACCAAGGCUACGAUCCGUAGCUGGUCUGAGAGGACGAUCAGCCACACUGGGACUGAGACACGGCCCAGACUCCUACGGGAGGCAGCAGUGGGGAAUCUUGCGCUAAUGCGGGAAACCGUGACGCAGCGACGCCGCGUGAGGGAAGAAGGCCUUCGGGUUGUAAACCUCUUUCAGGAGGGACGAAGCCACUCGGGUUAAUAGCCCAGAGGGUGACGGUACCUCCAGAAGAAGCCCCGGCUAACUACGUGCCAGCAGCCGCGGUAAUACGUAGGGGGCAAGCGUUGUCCGGAUUUAUUGGGCGUAAAGAGCGUGUAGGCGGCUAGGUAGGUCCGUUGUGAAAACUCGAGGCUCAACCUCGAGACGCCGGUGGAAACCAUCUAGCUAGAGUCCGGAAGAGGAGAGUGGAAUUCCUGGUGUAGCGGUGAAAUGCGCAGAUAUCAGGACGAACACCCGUGGCGAAGGCGGCUCUCUGGUACGUGACUGACGCUGAGACGCGAAAGCGUGGGGAGCGAACAGGAUUAGAUACCCUGGUAGUCCACGCUGUAAACGAUGGGUGCUAGGUGUGGGCGGUGUCGACUCCGUCCGUGCCGAAGCUAACGCA
rnacentral:rRNA from 1 species